CUACCUGUCACAGCGAGGAACAACACUCAGGAAGUCUGCUUCAUUCUGCAGCGCGGCGUGAACAAAGACGUCAACAUUCUUCACUCGAGCUGGCGUCCUGCAAGGCGGCAUGAGGAUCUGCACCAAGGAUCUAAAAUGCAUCCACCUGGGCCACACAAUCAGUUUUUUUUCUUCAUAUCGUCAAAUAUUAUAACAAAAGUCUUGAUAAUGCAAAUGUCGGGUUAGUAGAAGCCGUGCUGUAAAGGGCCAAAUUUCAUCUAUUUGUGGCCCAAACUGCAGAAGCAAACCUGCAAGGCGGAACCUCCUGACGUCCUCCGUCAGCAUCUCCGUCGGACACCCAAGGACCUUUUCACCCGCACUCGCUGUAGGCACGCAUUCCCACGUCACAAAUAGACUGUCAGGAGACGCUGACCGAGGCUCGAAGAUGCCUUUCGCUUCACAAAGGCAGCCUAGCAUUGGCACAUUUCCUAGCAUAGCUCAACAUAUCUUCAUCUGGUGCUUUUUCUUUGGCUUUCUGUUGUUGUUUGUUUCCUUUAGCAAAGGCCGCCAGGGUUCAUCAUACAUCAUUUUAACCAGAAACAUGUCUUUCUUGCAGUGGUUAGCCGUUUGUAAUUUUAAAUUAGCCAGAAUAACAUAACAUAUCUUAACAAUGCGACUUCAAACAUUGCCUGUAUGGUCAAUAAAGGUUGUGACCAUG